rnacentral:lncRNA from 1 species
AGGCAAUCUCAGAGCUGGACACCCUGAGUGAGGAAUCCUACAAGGACAGCACUCUGAUCAUGCAGCUUCUGCGUGAUAACUUGACCCUGUGGACUUCAGACAUCACGGUAUCUCCAUCCUAGCAUAUUUCCACUUAAGUCCUUUUUAUUUUCUGGAGUCAUCGUGUAUAUAUAUUCAAAUUCCAUUUGCUUGGCUCUAGGAGGAUGCUGCCGAUGACAUCAAGGAGGCUCCCAAGGGCGAGUCUGGAGAUGGGCAGUAAAGAUGAUCCAUGUGCCCAGAAACUACAUUUCAGUGUUCGUCUACUAGUGAAUCUGCCAAUGUGCUAUGGGUUCUUGUUUCGUUGGUAUAGGCUGUAUUGUUGCUUGUGAUAGCUGGAAAUUGGAGACUCCCAUUUGUGUCGUGCUUGAAAGGCUUGCGAGUAGCUUGCUGGUUGGCAGGUGUUGUCAAGCUACACUUGGUUGAGGGAGGGAACCUUUAUUUAUUUGGAUUAUUGGUGUU